ACUCCUACGGGAGGCAGCAGUGAGGAAUAUUGGACAAUGGACGCAAGUCUGAUCCAGCCAUGCCGCGUGCAGGAAGAAUGCCCUAUGGGUUGUAAACUGCUUUUAUUUGGGAAUAAACCCCUUCUCGUGAGGAGGGCUGAAGGUACCAAACGAAUAAGCACCGGCUAACUCCGUGCCAGCAGCCGCGGUAAUACGGAGGGGUGCAAGCGUUAUCCGGAAUCAUUGGGUUUAAAGGGUCCGCAGGCGGACGUAUAAGUCAGUGGUGAAAGCCUACAGCUUAACUGUAGAACUGCCAUUGAUACUGUAUGUCUUGAAUUCGGUCGGAGUGGGCGGAAUGUGUCAUGUAGCGGUGAAAUGCAUAGAUAUGACACAGAACACCGAUAGCGAAGGCAGCUCACUAGGCCUGAAUUGACGCUCAGGGACGAAAGCGUGGGGAGCGAACAGGAUUAGAUACCCUGGUAGCGACUGA
rnacentral:rRNA from 1 species